GGAAGUAAUUAUUACGCCUGGAAAAAUAACAGAAGCUGGGCUAGAAGAUGCGUAAAUAAAUUAGAUAUUGUAGAAUACUUUGCAACGAAGUUAUUUAAGUCCCCGGAUAUCGUAAAAUAUAGAUAAAUACAGAUGUUUGUGUAUAGCUGUGGAGCACUUAACCCACCAGGAUAACACUGGACAUCUACGAUUAAGACGGCACAAUGGGUUUAGAGGGCGACUUGGUAUAUAUUAACGUAAAGUAUGGAAUAAAUUGUUGAGGCUUGACAUUAAAAUGAAAAUGUUGGAGGUGAACAUCACUCUGGACAAAAGGGCCGAAGCCGGGUUAGAAGACGUGAAAGUAAAUUCGACUGUUAGCCGUACAGGGGUAAGAAAUAACUAUAAUACUCGAUGAUGGAUUAUGGG